rnacentral:lncRNA from 1 species
CCCUGACCUGUGCAAGCACAAGGGAUCAGAAGUCAGACUCAUAACAGGAAAUGCUGCUAAAAUUAUAGCUCCCUCCCUGAACCUGGCCUUCCUGCUAUCUGUUCUUUUUGAUGGGACAUAAUUGAGCCAGCUCUGGUUACAGAGACAGAGGCUUGGGAAAGUCAAUGGUCAGAAUGAAGGUGACCCUGCAGAAGAAUCCAUCAAAGAAUAGGGUUUCUUUGUGCAUGCAUGCUUUGCGUGGUGGGGGCUGGGUUCAGUUCCCAGGUUUGUGACUGAAUAUCAUUUUCGGCUUCAAUGCCUAGUGCUGACAUGAGUUUCUCCGGAUGGCUUUUCUAUAAAAAGCUUCUUUCCCAGGUCAAUUGCCAGAGAGAAAUCAACAGUGGUACUCCUAAGUGUUUAAUGAAAAUAGCAGGUAAGUUGAUUCCUUAAGAAGUCAAGGGCAUUAUUUUUUGUUGUUUUGUUUUUCGACUUUGAUUUCAUGGUUAGAGGUACAUUUGCAGAGUGUUAUCUAGGUAAACUACAUGUCGCCGGGGUUUGGUGUACACAUUACUUAGUCACCCAGGUAAUAAGCAUAGGACCCCAUAGGCAUGUUUUUUAAUCCUCUGCCUCCUCCCAAUCUCCACCCUCAAGCAGGCCCUGGUGUCUGUUAGUCCCCUCUUUGUGACCAUGUGCUCUCGUUGUUUGGCUCCCAUUCGUAAAUAAGAACAUAAGGGUAUUCGAUUUUGCAUACCUGCAUUAUUUUGCUUAGGAUAAUGGUCUGCAGCUCCAUCCAUGUUGCUGCAAAGGAUGCGAUCUCAUUCUUUUGUAUGGCUGCAUAGUAUUCCAUGGUGUGUAUGUACCAAAUUUUCUUUAGCCAGUCUACCAUUGAUGGGUAUUUAGGUUAAGUCCAUUUUUUUGCCAUUGUGUAUAGUGCUGUAAUAAACAUAUGUGUGCAUGUGUCUUUAUCAUAGAAUGAAUUAUAUUCAUUUGAGUGUAUACCCUAUAAUGAGAUUGCCAGGUUAAAUGGUAAUUCUGGCUUCUUUGAGAAAUCACCACACUGCUUUCCACAAUGGCUGAACUAAUUUACACUUUUUUUAGUUGUGGAUGUUUUUGGAAGAACGUACAGGUAAAAAAAAUAUAUAUAUAUAUAUUUAAGAGCCCAGAGCACUUUCAUACUUGUAUCUUUAUUUUGAAGUCUCUGUCACUCUUCUUUAGCCUUUCCUGCUUAAUUAAUGCAACCUGGUACUGAAGCGUUUCUCAUCUCUUUUGAAACACGGAUCAGGGGAACUCCUCACUUGAGUAAUGUAUUGCAGUCAUACGUCAUCGGCGGCAACAGCUCCGUGCUGUAAAUAAAGCUGUAAUUUUAUUAUUGUCAGGAGUCCAGACUGAGACAUUCUUACUUACAUACAAUGCAUCAAGCAUUAAAAGCGUAUUUCUAAUGCACUUCCUAAACCAUGCUCCCUCUCCUCCUGUGGGCAAAGAUCUUUUAAGGCAUAGGCUCUCUAAAAAGCAUUCAGAGUAUGGAAAUGAAUUAGCGAGAUGCAAUGCCCUGGCCAAAUUCACAAGAGACAUGAACAGCUAAGAAAAGCACCAAAGGUGUUUAUGUCUGAGCGCCAGCCACAGUGAACCCCUGAGAGCGCUCAGUGCUAGUGUUUCAGAGGACUCACGCGGUACAUGCAGCAUUAGUUCUUGAGGGGCUUGGUCCUGCAAAGGGGCUCAUUGCUCUCUCAGCCUGAAGUACUUUAAGUCUCAAUUCAGUGUUAUUUCCGUUCCCAAUUCCCUAAAAGGCUUUUGUCCCAGUCCAUCGGUUCUCCUAGAGCCCCCUGCAUGCCUCAGCAUUGGGCCAGUCUGCACACUGCGCUGAGAUGAACUAACUGCAUGACUUUAUCCUCACCAGACAGAAAGGCAGGGACUAUGCCAUCUUUAUGUUUACAUUCUUGGAGCUCUGCACAAGGUACAAGAUUAGUAAAUACUUGGUUGUUGAAUAAAUAAGUAUUAAUCACUGAGAAAUAAAUUCUUAACAAUGGUAUUAGGUGACUGAACUAGAGUCAGGUCAACCAUUAAAUGGUGAAACUGAAUGGUUAUUGGUAAGAUUCUUUAAGAAAACAAAAUUACAGUGCAGCUACUCAGUCCAAUCACUUAAUUGUACUGAGUGGUUUCAUCAAGACCAUGAAGACAGAGCUGGGUGCUUAUUGAGCACACUUUCUACUUGCACACCAGGCUUCACUUUCCUAGCUCAUGUAUAUCUAUAUACUCAGGAAGGUAUCAUUAAUUCAUAGAUAUUGAAAUUGUGUUCAUGAAUAACAGAAUUUUGUUCAACACAUUUCCUCAUAGUGCAAAUGAAUUAUUGGAAUAAAACAUAGGAGCAGUUUUCAUGACGAAGUUUUUGCUUGCAUCCUCCCAAAUGUUCAUGAGGACAUGGUACCUGUGACUCCACUGUGCCUGGGUCCUGCCAAAGCAAUACCCCUCCCCAUUAGCAAGUAAGGUCUCUGAUAUGGUUUAGCUCUGUGUCACCACCCAAAUCUCAUCUCGAAUUGUAAUCCCUGGGAGUAGAGGGAGGGAGGUGUUUGGGUCAUGAGGGUAGUUUCCCCAUGCUAUUCUCAUGAUAGUGGUGAGUUAUCAUGAGAUCUGAUGGUUUUAUAAGUGUUUGGAAGUUCUUCCUUUGUCCUUCUUUCUCCUGCCCUCUUGUGAAGAAGGUGCUUGUUUCCCCUUUGCCCUUCCAUCAUGAUUGCAGGUUUCCUGAGGCCUCUCCAGCCAUAUGGAACUGUGAGUCAAUUAACCCUCUUUUCUUUAUAAAUUACCCAGUCAUGGGUAUUUCUUUAUAGCUGUGUGAAAACAGACUAAUACAUAAAAUUGGUACUGGGAGUGGGACACUGCUAUAAAGAUACAGAAAAUGUUAAAGUGACUUUGGAACUGGGUAAUGGGCAGAGUUUGGAACAAUUUGGAGGGCCCAGAAGAAGACAGGAAGAUGUGGGAAAGUUUGGAACUUCUUAGACAAUUGUUGAAUGGUUUGACCAAAAUGCUGAUAAUCAUGUGGACAAUGAAGUCCAGGCUGAGGUAGUCUCAGGUGGGGACAAGGAAUUUAUUGGGAACUGGAACAAAGGUCACUCUUGCUGUGCUUUAGCAAAGACACUGGCAAUAUUUUGUCCCUGCCUUAAAGAUCUGUGGAACUUUGAACUUGAGAGAGAUGAUUUGAAAUUGGAAUUUAUGUUUAAAAGGGAAGGAGAGCAUAAAGUUUAGAAAAUUUGCAGCCUGACAGGGCUAUAGGAAAAAAAAAAAUGCUGUGGAGAAAUUCAGGCUGGCUGUAGAAAUUUGCAUAAGUAAUGAGGAGCUGAAUGUUAAUUGCCAAGACAAUGGAGAAAAUGUCUCCAGGGUAUGUCAGAGACGUUGGUGGCAGCCCCUCACAUCACAGCCUGGAGGCCUAGGAGGAAAAAAUAUUUUCUUGGGCCAGGCCCAGGGCCUCAUUGCUCUAUGCAACCUCUGGACCUGGUACUCUUCAUCCCAGCUAUGACUAAAAGGGGUCAUUGCUUCAGAGGGUGCAAGCCCCAAGCCUUGGUGCCUUGCAUGUGGUGUUGGGCUUGUGGGUACAAAGAAGUCAAGAAUUGAGGUUUGGAAACCUCUGCCUAGAUUUCAGAGGAUGUACGGAAAUGCCUCAAUGUCCUGGCAGAAGUCUGCAGCUUGGAGAACCUCUGAUGGGGUAGUGCAGAAGGGAAAUGUGGGGCUGGAGCUCCCACACAGAGUCCCCACUGAGGCACUGCCUAGUGGAGCUGUGAGAAGAGGGUCACCAUCCUCUAGACCCCAGAAUGGUAGAUCCACAGACAGCUUGUACAGUGAGCCUGGAAAAGCCACAGGCACUCAAUGCCAGCCUGUGAAGAAGCUGCCCAAGGCCGUGGGAGACCAUUCCUUGGAUUGGCAUGCCCCAGAUGUGAGACAUGGAGUCAAAGGAGAUCAUUUCAGAUCUUUAAGAUUUAAUGUCUGCCCCAUUGGAUUUCAAAUUUCAGUGGGGUCUGUAGCCCCUUUGUUUUGGCCAAUUUCUCCCAGCUAGAAUGGGAGCAUUUACCCAAAAGUCUGAAUUCCUAUUGUAUCUAGGAAGUAACUAACUUGCUUUUGAUUUUACAGGCUCAUAGGCGGAAGGAACUUGCUUUGUCUCAGCUGCUGCUGGAGUUUCACUGUGAUUCUGAGGAGUGCUGUCACUCAGGGGUCUCCCGAUCCUAUCUAGUGCUGAUCUUCCAUGGAUUUCCCGGAAGACUGAAUAGGCUUAAUUUUGCAACUGCUCUAGAAUACAAGUGUGCUGGUCUCCUGGACGCUUCAUGGGGGAAAAAAAGACAACCCUCUAGUUCUGCUCAGAUUUUUUUUUCAGCUCUGCCUCCUGCAAAGAUAGUCCAUCUCAUCCAGCCAGUUCUGAGGAAGUAUGUGAGUCAUGUCCCUUUUUCUGAUGAAAACUUCCAGUAUUGACUACUAGAAGUUUUCUAGAUCAACAACUAUCAAGCCUUUGGAAAUAUAACUAAUAUGUACCAAUAUGUAAAAAAUAAUUUCUAUUUUUUUAAUGAAAUAGUUUCCUAAGGCCCAAAUGUAACUUUCAAAAUGAUAUGUGUGGCACAAAUUCUCUCUACUACCGGGGCGACGAAGGGAGCACAGUGCACAGGCUGGAGGUCAGAGCCUCCCUGGACAUAGUUUGGCCCCAAAAAGAAUCAGGGAAGAAGAAACUUGACAAAGAGCCUCAUAGAUGUUUCCUAAAGCAGAGACCCUCUGAAGGUGAUGCAUGACUAUUAGAGAAUCUGUGCUAUAAGGAGCUUCUUGGUUUCCAUUUCUGUCACAUGAGGAAAAGUAAAAGCUAACAAAAUCGCUCAUACAAACAAAUCUGUGUCACAGGCAUACAGUCCUGCUAACAUUUUUCUGUUAAAAGUAGGAACAAAUGUAAGCUUUCUGGCAUAUAUUUUAUGUUUUGUUUAAAACACUGCACAUUUUAUUUUAUCUUUAAAUACAUAUAUGCAUAUAUAUAUUUAAAACAUACACAUGGACAUAAUAACUAUUUGUAACUAUAUACCUAUUUGUAAAAAUAUUAUCAUUGGAAUUCUUUCCCUUUAAUAAAACAAACGUAACUAAGCAUAAGCCUCCAUAAAGUGCUUAUAUCCAGGGAUGUUGUAGGAAACUGUCUCUCCUGGGGAAUAGGAGGAGCUUUGAUUUGCAGCAUUUGCCAAUUUCUGCAUUGUAAACACUCCGUCUAUGGCCUGUUUCAAACUACCAAUGAUUUAGUGCCUGGCUCACAAAAUUCCUGAAUAUUUAACAAGCGGCUCUUGUGAGGGCAGGAGCCCGUGGCAGGUUACCACCACCAUGCUCCUUCAGCACCGCAGCAAACUUGUGGGAGGUGCUUGGGAAGCCCACCGACUAACCUUUCCUUUUAGACUGACAAUCACUCUGCAAGGUCUUAAGUCAAGAUAUUUUCAUUUUAGUUUUGUAGAUUAGAAUACAAC